rnacentral:lncRNA from 1 species
AUAUUUUAGGGUUUUCUUAUUAUUGAUCUCUUUCUAAAAUGAAAGAAACUUACAUUGAUGCAUACAAUCUUAAACCUGUAGUAUACAUCAGUGUACUUACAAUAUAUAUAUUAUGUGUGUUAUAGGCACAAGGUCUCAUCUCUUGUAGUAAAAGUGAUUGUGAAUGCAAGUGACGUAUCACUUUGUUAAUAAAUAAAUAAAUAAAGGAACAAUCAUCAAUAUAAAUUUAGGAAAAAUCAGAAUUUUCCUCUUUCCCAUCAGAAAACAAUUAUGCAACAAGAAUGGUUUAUUUUGAGGUCUCUUUUCUUGUUCCAAUAUUAAUUCUGCAUUUUCAUCGAUCUCAUGCAAUAUAUAGACUUAUUCGUUAUGCUUCUUUGAGUUUGAGAAAAGGACUAAAGUUCAGUUGACGCUUUAACAUUAUUUUUCCCCAUGAAUUCCAAAUUGCAUUGUGGACGAAGUCUCUAUAUUGAAAGAGAAUUUGAAUAUUUGAUCAAAUUGGAGGACAUGUAGAAUCUAUCUUCAAACCUUUUAGUUUUACAGCUAAUAAGUCAUUUUCCUAACAAUUUAUAUAUUUUCUGCCAAGACUAUUGGCUUCAAUAUUAGAUGACGUAUUUUAUGCUUGGAUGUAUAUAAACAUAUAUGCUGUUUCAAUUUAUCAUGCUUGAGAAUAACUUAAGAAAAAAAAAAUCAAAAUUACACCGAGCAACUUCGAUUGAAGAACGGAACACUCACAGCCUAGGUUUCUGCUAGUCUGAAGACAAGGUUAUGCCUUUUCUUGUGAAGUUCAAAGACUUUCAGUGAGCCGAAUACUAAGUAACCUGGGUAACACCUCACUUCGCCGAGAAAGCUAAUGAAGUGACCUUGUUCAGCGAGAGAAUCAAAGACUCCUCGCCGGCAUAUGAUGGAAUUACCAUAUUACAUUGAUUACAUCUAAUAAUAUUCAUCUAUAUCUAUAAAUAAAGAGUAAACUGCCGAUUUGCCCCCUGAACUAU